UAAAAGCCUAAGUAGUGUGU
rnacentral:siRNA from 1 species